AAAGUCGCGGCCAAGACGUGGUGGUUAGUGAGGUCCCCCCUUCACUUUAGGCGUCUUUGAGUGUUAUUAAUUAUUAUUAUUAUUCAUGUUUAACCUCUGUUUUCCUUUUAUUCCUAGUCUGUUUUACAUAGUUUUGAAUGAUGACUAUAUGCUCUGUAAGGUGACCUUGGGUGUCUUGAAAGGCGCCUCUAAAUUAAAUGUAUUAUUAUUAUUAUUAUCCGUAACGUUGCCGUAACGCGUCCGGUGGAAUCCCCGGGUUAUGCUCUAACCAAUACGCAGGCCUUUGCCGUCUGUCUCUCGUCUCGAGCUUCUCGCUCACAACCAAUCACGUUCUUCUGGAGGUCACUAGUUCUUAAUUGAUUUCAGCUGCGUCUCCCCCGCCUCUCCUCAUAAAGCGCCCCCACCGUAACGGAUGUUAAUCGUUUAUUUUGCGUUGGAUUGCGUGGGUUGAACAAUCCGGACAUCGUGGCCACCGACGUGGACCCCCUGCCACCGGGACCCACGCACACCGACCACCACACUGGGAAGUGUCCUCUGCUCACUUUGGAAGCAGCAUGGAAGAACUGCAGCAACUCUGAUGGAAACGAGGACCUCCACGCUGUUGAACACAAACUGUUCUAGGCCUACUACAAACCGAGGCGGUCCCACUCGGUUAAAGAUCUCGUGGUCAAUGCGGCAGACCGCUGGACCUGGACGUCACCUUCUGCAGAUACUUCACUGCCCUCAGGAAUCCACGGAUAACUUGAAACAUGUCCGAAGCCCUUCUGUGGAAACCUGUCUGACUGACCCUACUGACUGGGGGCCUGUUGAUGUGUGUUUGGUUGGUUUGGUAGAAGGUUUGCUGCUUGUGAUCUGCAAGGUGGUCCUGGGUUAGAUGCGGUGUCUGACUUGCACACCACUCUCCCAAUUCUAUUAUUCUCUUUACUACUUUUCUACUUUCAAUACACUUGCUGCUGCUGCUGCUGUUGACCGCUGGUGGUGCAUUGUGGUUUUUAUUCGCGUAUGUUCUGUGGACUUUGCAUUUGUAUUUUAAUGAACAUGUUUACUGCCUGUUAGACCUCGGAUUGGCAAACCUAAACUCCUUCACUGGCAAAAUGUAGAUGCAAAUUAAAUGCCAAAAUUAACAUUUCAAUAUUCGUUAUGCGUAUUUCACCAAUAGCUUCGGAACUAGACGGACCUCGUAUAUAAUUUGCUCUUCAAAGAUGCGGUCAGGCGCCCCUCCGUUAUAUAAUGUUUUCUGCCCGGUACGAAAUAGACCGACCGAUGGCAACCCUUUAGGCUAUCUAAUGUGAGGUUGGAUAUAGGCAACAUGUAGAGGUGUUUCAACAACAAAGAUGGAAGUUAGUGAACUAAAGACUGUAUAUGCUCACUAAAAGAACGAACGACUACUACUCAAAGAUUUUGAGGAAUAUGUAUUUCUGCAUCACCCGUUCCAAUGCUAUGAUUAGUCGAGGCCUAUCCAAUAGCAUAGCAUCGACCCAUUUUAGAUCGCGCCCUUUAGACACGCCCCUUGGAAAUUGAACAACGCACUUCAACGCAGAGGAUCCAGAAGGAUUUCACAACGAGUCCAUUGGAAGAUAUCGAGGAACAUGAACAUCACCAAUGAA